UACGAAGGGGGCUAGCGUUGCUCGGAAUCACUGGGCGUAAAGCGCACGUAGGCGGCUUCUUAAGUCAGGGGUGAAAUCCUGGAGCUCAACUCCAGAACUGCCUUUGAUACUGAGGAGCUUGAGUCCGGGAGAGGUGAGUGGAACUGCGAGUGUAGAGGUGAAAUUCGUAGAUAUUCGCAAGAACACCAGUGGCGAAGGCGGCUCACUGGCCCGGUACUGACGCUGAGGUGCGAAAGCGUGGGGAGCAAACA
rnacentral:rRNA from 1 species